UACGGAGGGUGCGAGCGUUAUCCGGAAUUAUUGGGCGUAAAGAGCUCGUAGGCGGUUUGUCGCGUCUGCCGUGAAAGUCCGGGGCUCAACUCCGGAUCUGCGGUGGGUACGGGCAGACUAGAGUGAUGUAGGGGAGACUGGAAUUCCUGGUGUAGCGGUGAAAUGCGCAGAUAUCAGGAGGAACACCGAUGGCGAAGGCAGGUCUCUGGGCAUUAACUGACGCUGAGGAGCGAAAGCAUGGGGAGCGAACAGG
rnacentral:rRNA from 1 species